GGAAGGGUUGUAUUUAUUAGAUAAAGAACCAAUAUUUUUGGUGACUCAUAAUAACUUUACGGAUCACAAUAUGUGACAUAUCAUUCAAGUUUCUGACCUAUCAGCUUUAGACGGUAGGGUAUUGGCCUACCGUGGCUAUGACGGGUAACGGGGAAUUAGGGUUCGAUUCCGGAGAGGGAGCCUGAAGAAACGGCUACCACAUCUAAGGAAGGCAGCAGGCGCGCAAAUUACCCAAUCCUAAUACAGGGAGGUAGUGACAAGAAAUAACAAUACAGAACCUUACGGUUUUGUAAUUGGAAUGAGUUAAGUAUAAACCCCUUAACAAGUAUCAAUUGGAGGGCAAGUCUGGUGCCAGCAGCCGCGGUAAUUCCAGCUCCAAUAGCGUAUAUUAAAGUUGUUGCAGUUAAAAAGCUCGUAGUUGGAUUUCUGCUGAUUUUUAUAUAUAAUACUACGGUAUUUAUAUAAAAUCAGCAUAAUCCGCAUUACUUUGAGUAUGCGGAACUUUACUUUGAGAAAAUUAGAGUGCUUAAAGCAGGCAAUUGCCUUGAAUACUCCAGCAUGGAAUAAUAUUAAGGAUUUUUAUCCUUUUUAUUGGUUCUAGGAUAAAAAUAAUGAUUAAUAGGGACAGUUGGGGGCAUUUGUAUUUAACAGUCAGAGGUGAAAUUCUUAGAUUUGUUAAAGACAAACUACUGCGAAAGCAUUUGCCAAGGAUGUUUUCAUUAAUCAAGAACGAAAGCUAGGGGAGGGGUGGUGUUCAUGAGAUAGUGGUAGUUGAUACUCCUUCAGCACCUUAUGAG
rnacentral:rRNA from 1 species